GCCGUGGGUGUGGAGCCUCCCCAGCAAAAAACCUGGGCAUGGCUGCUUGGCAGACGACCACAUCCCCCCCACAGCUGCCACAUCAGUGCUGCCUGGAGUUUGCACAAAAUAUCUUUCUGACUGCAGUGUGAACGACCGUUUGGAGGGUGAUGCCAGAGGGAGAGAGACCAGGUCUUGGUGACCAACUAACUUUAGGCUGGGAAGGCCACCCUGCCCGGCUGGACCCACUCCAUGCAGGAUGCCAAGGGCCCGCUCCACUUUCUCCACAGACCAGAGGAGGGUCUGGGGUGCCCCUCUCCCCUCUACUGCAGCCAAACGGAACCCCAGCUGGGCCUGGAGCCAGAGAGAUAAGAAGAUCCAGUCACUCUCAAUUUCCCACAAACUUGACACUCAGUCCCCUUUGCAGAAAAAACAAAUCACCUUCCACUCUUGAGCUAUCGGGAAAUCACAGUGUCUCAGAGUCACAGGGACCCUGAUAGAGCACCGAGUCUGACCUCCCUAUCCUCCGCUCCCCACUCAGCCACUCAUUGUGCAAAUGGGGAAACUGAGGCACAGAGACAGGUGAGGGCUUGAUCAGGCCCACACUGAGAGUCAGUAAGAGAGUUGGGGUCAUAAACCCAGGUCUCCUGUUCCUGGCUUCAUAUUCUUUCCAACCCCCAGGUUGAAUAAAUACCUGAGAGUUCAUCGCUGCACACAUGAGGACCUGCUGCACUCUCACUCCGCUGGCAUACCUCCUGUGACA